rnacentral:tRNA from 1 species
GGUUGAGUCGUCUAAAGGUAAGGCGUAAGAUUGCAAAUCUCAAAAUAGCAGUUCAACUCUGCUCUCAACC